rnacentral:rRNA from 1 species
GUGGGGAAUAUUGGGCAAUGGGCGAAACCCUGACGCAGCAACGCCGCGUGAGUGAUGAAGGCCUUCGGGUCGUAAAGCUCUGUCAGAGGGAAAGAAAUGCGGGAGGGUUAAUACCCCUUUUGCUUGACGGUACCCUCAAAGGAAGCACCGGCUAACUCCGUGCCAGCAGCCGCGGUAAUACGGAGGGUGCGAGCGUUGUUCGGAAUUAUUGGGCGUAAAGCGCGUGUAGGCGGUCUUUUAAGUCUGAUGUGAAAGCCCCGGGCUCAACCUGGGAAGUGCAUUGGAAACUGGGAGACUUGAAUACGGGAGAGGGUAGUGGAAUUCCUAGUGUAGGAGUGAAAUCCGUAGAUAUUAGGAGGAACACCGGUGGCGAAGGCGGCUACCUGGACCGAUAUUGACGCUGAGACGCGAAAGCGUGGGGAGCAAACAGGAUUAGAAACCCUAGUAGUCC